GACUAUUAAUAUAAUAAAAUAUUCUUUUUUUUUCAAAAUUAUGUAUCCUUUAACAGAUUAACUACGAGUCUCAUUCGAAUUUGGUUGAAAAUGAAAAUUGGGCAUACCCUCUCUUCGAGCUUGACCAAUUACCAAUUUAUGGAAAAAAAAUCAAAUUCAAGUUUGCAUAGGUAGAUAAAAUGGGUUUUACACUUUUUAUUUUGAUGUAGUUUUCAUGUAUAAAUGGAGAUGUAUAAAUUAUAAAUGUAAGACAACAAAAAACUGGG
rnacentral:lncRNA from 1 species